rnacentral:rRNA from 1 species
CCUACGGGAGGCAGCAGUGAGGAAUAUUGGUCAAUGGGCUUACGCCUGAACCAGCCAAGUCGCGUGAGGGAAGACUGCCCUAUGGGUUGUAAACCUCUUUUGUCAGGGAGCAACGCCGGCUACGUGUAGCCGGACUGAGAGUACCUGAAGAAAAAGCAUCGGCUAACUCCGUGCCAGCAGCCGCGGUAAUACGGAGGAUGCGAGCGUUAUCCGGAUGUAUUGGGUUUAAAGGGUGCGUAGGCGGAAUGCGAAGUCAGCGGUAAAAUCGCGGGGCUCAACCUCUCUCCGCCGUUGAAACUGGCGUUCUUGAGUGGGCGAGAAGUAUGCGGAAUGCGUGGUGUAGCGGUGAACUGCAUAGAUAUCACGAAGAACUCCGAUUGCGAAGGCAGCAUACCGGCGCCCAACUGACGCUGAAGCACGAAAGCGUGGGUAUCGAACAGGAUUAGAUACCCGAGUAGUC